AUUGAACGCUGGCGGCAGGCCUAACACAUGCAAGUCGAACGGUAACAGGAAGAAGCUUGCUUCUUUGCUGACGAGUGGCAGACGGGUGAGUAAUGUCUGGGAAACUGCCUGAUGGAGGGGGAUAACUACUGGAAACGGUAGCUAAUACCGCAUAACGUCGCAAGACCAAAAAGGGGGACCUUCGGGCCUCUUGCCAUCGGAUGUGCCCAGAUGGGAUUAGCUAGUAGGUGGGGUAACGGCUCACCUAGGCGACGAUCCCUAGCUGGUCUGAGAGGAUGACCAGCCACACUGGAACUGAGACACGGUCCAGACUCCUACGGGAGGCAGCAGUGGGGAAUAUUGCACAAAGGGCGCAAGCCUGAUGCAGCCAUGCCGCGUGUAUGAAGAAGGCCUUCGGGUUGUAAAGUACUUUCAGCGGGGAGGAAGGGAGUAAAGUUAAUACCUUUGCUCAUUGACGUUACCCGCAGAAGAAGCACCGGCUAACUCCGUG
rnacentral:rRNA from 1 species